rnacentral:rRNA from 1 species
UGCCAGCAGCCGCGGUAAUACGAAAGGUGCAAGCGUUGUUCGGAUUUACUGGGCGUAAAGCGAGUGUAGGUUGUUUGUUAAGUCGGAUGUGAAAUCCCGGGGCUCAACCUCGGAACUGCAUUCGAUACUGGCAGGCUAGAGUUCGGGAGGGGUAAGCGGAAUUCCGUGUGUAGCAGUGAAAUGCGUAGAUAUACGGAGGAACACCUGAGGCGAAGGCGGCUUACUGGACCGAUACUGACACUGAGACUCGAAAGCGUGGGUAGCAAACAGGAUUAGAUA